rnacentral:rRNA from 1 species
GAUGAACGCUGGCGGCGUGCCUAAUACAUGUAAGUCGAGCGAACGGACGAGAAGCUUGCUUCUCUGAUGUUAGCGGCGGACGGGUGAGUAACACGUGGAUAACCUACCUAUAAGACUGGGAUAACUUCGGGAAACCGGAGCUAAUACCGGAUAAUAUUUUGAACCGCAUGGUUCAAAAGUGAAAGACGGCCUUGCUGUCACUUAUAGAUGGAUCCGCGCUGCAUUAGCUAGUUGGUAAGGUAACGGCUUACCAAGGCAACGAUGCAUAGCCGACCUGAGAGGGUGAUCGGCCACACUGGAACUGAGACACGGUCCAGACUCCUACGGGAGGCAGCAGUAGGGAACCUUCCGCAAUGGGCGAAAGCCUGACGGAGCAACGCCGCGUGAGUGAUGAAGGUCUUCGGAUCGUAAAACUCUGUUAUUAGGGAAGAACAUAUGUGUAAGUAACUGUGCACAUCUUGACGGUACCUAAUCAGAAAGCCACGGCUAACUACGUG